rnacentral:rRNA from 1 species
UACGGGGGGGGCAAGCGUUGUUCGGAAUUACUGGGCGUAAAGGGCUCGUAGGCGGCCAACUAAGUCGAACGUGAAAUCCCUCAGCUUAACUGGGGAACUGCGUCCGAUACUGAUUGGCUUGAAUCCGGAAGAGGGAUGCGGAAUUCCAGGUGUAGCGGUGAAAUGCGUAGAUAUCUGGAGGAACACCGGUGGCGAAGGCGGCAUUCUGGACCGAUAUUGACGCUGAGGAGCGAAAGCCAGGGGAGCAAACGGG